rnacentral:rRNA from 1 species
AACGAACGCUGGCGGCGUGCCUAACACAUGCAAGUCGAACGGGAAAACCCGCAAGGGUGAGUACAGUGGCGCACGGGUGCGUAACACGUGGGUAAUCUGCCCAGAAGCCCGGAAUAACUCCCCGAAAGGGGUGCUAAUGCCGGAUGAGACCACGGGGACUUCGGUUCCUGGGGGAAAAGGUGGCCUCUGUAUACAAGCUAUCACUUCUGGAUGAGCCCGCGGCCCAUCAGCUAGUUGGCGGGGUAAUGGCCCACCAAGGCUACGACGGGUAGCUGGUCUGAGAGGACGAUCAGCCACACUGGAACUGAGACACGGUCCAGACUCCUACGGGAGGCAGCAGUGGGGAAUCUUGCGCAAUGGGCGAAAGCCUGAUGCAGCAACGCCGCGUGUGUGAUGAAGGUCUUCGGAUCGUAAAGCACUGUCGGGAGGGACGAAUAAGGGCCGGGUGAACAAUCCGGUUCGACGACGGUACCUCCAGGGGAAGCACCGGCUAACUCUGUGCCAGCCGCCGCAGUAAUAC